UCCCCGUUACCGAGGCAGUCUAGCUAGAAAAAUUCAACUAGCUACAAGGGUUGCGCUCGUUAAUGGACUUAACCAAACAUCUCACGACACGAGCUGACGACGGCCAUGCAUCACCUGUCACUGCGGCCCGAAGGCACAUUUUCCUUUCGGAAAACUUGGCAGGAUGUCAAGCCUUGGUAAGGUUCUUCGCUUAUCAUCGAAUUAAACAACACGCUCCACCGCUUGUGCGGGUCCCCGUCAAUUCCUUUAUGUUUUAAGCUUGCGCUCGUACUCCACAGGCGGGAUGCUUAACGCGUUAGCUUCGCUACUACACGGGUCGAUACGCAUAACAGCUAGCAUCCAUAGUUUACGGCGUGGACUA
rnacentral:misc_RNA from 1 species